rnacentral:rRNA from 1 species
CCUACGGGAGGCAGCAGUAAGGAAUAUUGGUCAAUGGGCGCAAGCCUGAACCAGCCAUGCCGCGUGCAGGAAGACGGCCCUAUGGGUUGUAAACUGCUUUUGAACAAGAGAAAACCUCGGUACGUGUACCGAGCUGAUAGUAUUGUUAGAAUAAGCAUCGGCUAACUUCGUGCCAGCAGCCGCGGUAAGACGAAGGAUGCAAGCGUUAUCCGGAUUCAUUGGGUUUAAAGGGUGCGUAGGCGGCCUGAUAAGUCAGUGGUGAAAUCUCUCAGCUUAACUGAGAAACUGCCAUUGAUACUGUCGGGCUUGAGUACAGAUGAUGUGGGCGGAAUAUGACAUGUAGUGGUGAAAUACUUAGAUAUGUCAUAGAACACCGAUUGCGAAGGCAGCUCACAAAACUGUAACUGACGCUGAGGCACGAAAGUGCGGGGAUCAAACAGGAUUAGAUACCCUGGUAGUCCGCACCGUAAACGAUGAUUACUCGUUGUUGGCAAUAUGACCCGUUGAGCGACCGACGACGAAGACGAAGUAAGUAAGUUACACCGUACGGGUUAGGUUACGGACCGGCCGACGGACGGAACGACGAAGAGAGUUAGACGGACGNGAGACGAGCGACGGACGACGACGAGGAGGUAGGAG